GACGAACGCUGGCGGCGUGCUUAACACAUGCAAGUCGAACGGAAAGGCCCUGCUUUUGUGGGGUGCUCGAGUGGCGAAAGGGUGAGUAACACGUGAGUAACCUGCCCUUGACUUUGGGAUAACUUCAGGAAACUGGGGCUAAUACCGGAUAGGAGCUCCUGCUGCAUGGUGGGGGUUGGAAAGUUUCGGCGGUUGGGGAUGGACUCGCGGCUUAUCAGCUUGUUGGCGGGGUAGUGGCUUACCAAGGCUUUGACGGGUAGCCGGCCUGAGAGGGUGACCGGCCACAUUGGGACUGAGAUACGGCCCAGACUCCUACGGGAGGCAGCAGUGGGGAAUAUUGCACAAUGGGCGGAAGCCUGAUGCAGCAACGCCGCGUGCGGGAUGACGGCCUUCGGGUUGUAAACCGCUUUCGCCUGUGACGAAGCGUGAGUGACGGUAAUGGGUAAAGAAGCACCGGCUAACUACGUG
rnacentral:rRNA from 1 species